GACGAACCGUGCGAACGUUGUUCGGAAUCACUGGGCUUAAAGGGCGCGUAGGCGGCCACGUCAGUCUCGGGUGAAAUCUUUCGGCCCAACCGGAAACGUGCCUGGGAUACUGCGUGGCUAGAGGGAGGUAGGGGCGGACGGAACUUCCGGUGGAGCGGUGAAAUGCGUUGAUAUCGGAAGGAACGCCGGUGGCGAAAGCGGUCCGCUGGACCUCUACUGACGCUGAGGCGCGAAAGCCAGGGGAGCAAACGGG
rnacentral:rRNA from 1 species